GAUGAACGCUGGCGGCGUGCCUAAUACAUGCAAGUCGAGCGAACGGACGAGAAGCUUGCUUCUCUGUUGUUAGCGGCGGACGUGUGAGUAACACGUGGAUAACCUACCUAUAAGACUGGGAUAACUUCGGGAAACCGGAGCUUAUACCGGAUGAUAUUCUGAUCCGCAGUGUUCGAAAGUGAAAGACGGUCUUGCUGUCACUUAUAGAUGGAUCCGCGCUGCAUUAGCUAGUUGGUGAGGUAACGGCUUACCAAGGCAACGAUGCGUAGCCGAGCUGUGGGAGGGGUCGCCGGCCCGGGAAGUGAGACACCGUCAAGACUACUGAGGGACGGAGCAGUAGGCAAUGGUCCGCAGUGGGGGAGAGCCUGGCGGAGCAACGCGGAGUGAGUGAUGAAGAUCUUGGGAUCGGAAAGAUCGGUUAUGAGGUGUGAACAUAUGUGUAAGUAACUGUGCAGAGCGUGACGGUAACUAGUCAGAAAGCCACGGCUAACUACGUG
rnacentral:rRNA from 1 species